UGGGGAAUCUUCGGCAAUGGGGGGAACCCUGACCGAGCAACGCCGCGUGAGUGAAGAAGGUUUUCGGAUCGUAAAGCUCUGUUGUAAGAGAAGAACGAGUGUGAGAGUGGAAAGUUCACACUGUGACGGUAUCUUACCAGAAAGGGACGGCUAACUACGUGCCAGCAGCCGCGGUAAUACGUAGGUCCCGAGCGUUAUCCGGAUUUAUUGGGCGUAAAGCGAGCGCAGGCGGUUAGAUAAGUCUGAAGUUAAAGGCUGUGGCUUAACCAUAGUACGCUUUGGAAACUGUUUAACUUGAGUGCAGAAGGGGAGAGUGGAAUUCCAUGUGUAGCGGUGAAAUGCGUAGAUAUAUGGAGGAACACCGGUGGCGAAAGCGGCUCUCUGGUCUGUAACUGACGCUGAGGCUCGAAAGCGUGGGGAGCAAACAGGAUUAGAUACCCUGGUAGUCCACGCCGUAAACGAUGAGUGCUAGGUGUUGGGUCCUUUCCGGGACUCAGUGCCGCAGCUAACGCAUUAAGCACUCCGCCUGGGGGAGUACGACCGCAAGGUUG
rnacentral:rRNA from 1 species